rnacentral:rRNA from 1 species
GAUGAACGCUGGCGGCGUGCCUAAUACAUGCAAGUCGAGCGAACAGACGAGGAGCUUGCUCCUCUGACGUUAGCGGCGGACGGGUGAGUAACACGUGGAUAACCUACCUAUAAGACUGGGAUAACUUCGGGAAACCGGAGCUAAUACCGGAUAAUAUAUUGAACCGCAUGGUUCAAUAGUGAAAGACGGUUUUGCUGUCACUUAUAGAUGGAUCCGCGCCGCAUUAGCUAGUUGGUAAGGUAACGGCUUACCGAGGCGACGAUGCGUAGCCGACCUGAGAGGGUGAUCGGCCACACUGGAACUGAGACACGGUCCAGACUCCUACGGGAGGCAGCAGUAGGGAAUCUUCCGCAAUGGGCGAAAGCCUGACGGAGCAACGCCGCGUGAGUGAUGAAGGUCUUCGGAUCGUAAAACUCUGUUAUUAGGGAAGAACAAAUGUGUAAGUAACUAUGCACGUCUUGACGGUACCUAAUCAGAAAGCCACGGCUAACUACGUG